rfam:Gossypium arboreum cultivar AKA8401 contig_116857_1, whole genome shotgun sequence.
AUUCCAUGAUGAGGGAACUUCUGUAAUAGUUCUUUGUACAUUUCUCAUGCCUCAUACAAAGGCUCAUCAUCUAUUUUUUGGAAAGCAAUGAUCUCAUUCCUCAACCU